rnacentral:rRNA from 1 species
AUCUGCCCACUGAAAUUUUUUUAAUGGCCGCAGUAAUUUGACUGUGCAAAGGUAGCAUAAUCAUUAGUUUUUUAAUUAAAAGCUUGUAUGAAUGAUUGGACGAGGUAAAUUCUGUCUUUAUUUAAAUAAUAUUAGAAUUUAAUUUUUAAGUUAAAAAGCUUAAAUAAUUAUAAAAGACGAGAAGACCCUAUAGAUCUUUAUAUUAUUAUUUUAUAAUUUUAAUUAGGAAUUUUUAAUUUUUUAUAUAAUAUAGUAUUUUAUUGGGGUAAUAAAAAGAUUAAAAAAAUUCUUUUUAAUUUUUUACAUUAAUUUAUGAAUUUAAUGAUCCAAAAUUUUUGAUUAUAAGAUUAAGUUACCUUAGGGAUAACAGCGUAAUUUUUUUAGAGAGUUCAUAUCGAUAAAAAAGUUUGCGACCUCGAUGUUGGAUUAAAAAUUGUUUUAGGCGCAGAAGUUUAAAAAUUUGGUCUGUUCGACCAUUAAAUUUUU